CAGCAUUAAAUGUGCUUCUAUACACAUUCAGUAAAUUACAUACUUAUAAAUGACUCAUUUAUAAUAGCUGCAGGCUGACAGCAACAGUGAAAACUCAGGUUUUUUUUACUUGUCCUUUUUGAUGUGUUUUUGGUUUUUUUUUAUUUGAGCAGCUGAUGAUCUUGAACUACUUGUUGACAGAAGUCAAAAAAGGAGCAGUUUCUGGCCUUGAAAAGAUACCCUUUGUUUUCAUGCAGACGGAUUUGUAGAAACACACAUUCUUUCACAAAGAUCAAGAUGUCUCACUAUAAAAAAUCAUCUAAGGACUACAAGGAUAAACCUGAGGAAGGACCUGGCUCAAGGGAAGAAUAUUUUAAAGAAGA
rnacentral:lncRNA from 1 species